UACGUAGGGUGCAAGCGUUGUCCGGAAUUAUUGGGCGUAAAGAGCUCGUAGGCGGCUUGUCACGUCGAUUGUGAAAGCCCGAGGCUUAACCUCGGGUCUGCAGUCGAUACGGGCUAGCUAGAGUGUGGUAGGGGAGAUCGGAAUUCCUGGUGUAGCGGUGAAAUGCGCAGAUAUCAGGAGGAACACCGGUGGCGAAGGCGGUUCUCUGGGCAUUACCUGACGCUGAGGAGCGAAAGUGUGGGGAGCGAACAGG
rnacentral:rRNA from 1 species